GCAAGUCGAACGAAGUAGCAAUACUUAGUGGCAGACGGGUGAGUAACAUGUGGGUAUCUGCCCUUUGGCCUGGAAUAACACGGGGAAACUUGUGCUAAUACCGGAUAAGUCUUUACGGAGAAAGCUUUAUGCACCAUUGGAUGAGCCUGCACUUGAUUAGUUUGUUGGUGGGGUAAUGGCCUACCAAGACUUUGAUCAAUAGCUGAUUUGAGAGGAUGAUCAGCCACAUUGGGACUGAGACACGGCCCAAACUCCUACGGGAGGCAGCAGUGGGGAAUCUUGCACAAUGGAGGAAACUCUGAUGCAGCGAUGCCGCGUGAGUGAAGAAGGCCUUUGGGUUGUAAAGCUCUUUCGUCGGGGAAGAAAAUGACUAUACCCGAAUAAGAAGGUCCGGCUAACUUCGUGCCAGCAGCCGCGGUAAUACGAAGGGACCUAGCGUAGUUCGGAAUUACUGGGCUUAAAGAGUUCGUAGGUGGUUGAAAAAGUUGGUGGUGAAAUCCCAGAGCCUAACUCUGGAACUGCCAUCAAAACUUUUCA
rnacentral:rRNA from 1 species